AGUCAAGUCUUGGCAUAUUUUCAGCUACUACUGUUUAGCCUGAUAAAGAAGACAAUGAAUAUACAGUUUUUAUCUUUGAUAGAACCUAGGAAACAAAGCUUUUGAUUAAGAGGUUCCAACAUGGCAAACCCAAGAUCUUUAUUGACACAUGGUCUUUGCUACAGACUUUGGCUAGUGGAGCCUUUAAAGUGACAAGAUGUUAAUUUGGGGCUUUCCUACCUCAGUUUUGUGUGUCAUGUAAUAGGACAAACCUCAGGCCCUGUUGGCUUGUCAAUAUCAGAUUUCUUUGACAUUCUUAUAAGCACUGUAGCCCUUGGAUUCUUUUAUGAAGGAGCCAUCAAACCCCCUGCUUCUCAGACUUAUGGAAUUCCCUGAGGCUGUGUCUGCACAUUGGCACAGAGGCCACUCGAGAAGUGACAAUUGUGGCUGGACAGUGCACUGUCUUGGCCUCUGGGAUCAGGCCAAUCCUGUCUGCUUUGGCAAUUUGAUCUCAUUGGCUAUUCAAUUUCUGCUUGGGGUUGGCUAACUGUUGAAAGCAUGAGUCAUGCAAGAACUUGGACUUUGGAGCCGAACAGAAUGUGGAAACCUGGCUCCGUCAUGUACAGAUGUGACCUUGGGCAAGAUGCUGACCUGGAGGGGUUCAGGUUACGUUAAUAAGAUGGAAGUGUCAUGGCACUUAGGAUAUGGGGCUGUGAAGAUGAUACAAGCCAAAGCUUGCAAGGCAUCUGACUUCAGUUUGUGGAAUAAACACUCACUUGGCGACAGCUCUUAUUAUCAAAAUUAUUUUUAGGGGCCUGACUGCACUGUGGUGUGAGCCCCUUGGCGAUUUUUGAGUCUGAGUUACAUGCCCAGUUUUGCCUCGUCGAAGGGGUCUUCACUGCCUUUCUUCAGCCGGCUCCGGAAGGCCCGAUUUGAGUGGAAACAUCCGUGAGUUGCCAUGACGAUGUCAUUUUUGAUUUGCACAGGGACUUUCCACGUUUUGAAGGGGAUAGCUUCUCCUCAGCAUGGGGACACUUGCCAAGCUUCGAAAGAGCUAUAAACUUGCUGAGUCGUGGAAAGGUAUUCUUGGAUACAGAGCUUCCAACAAACCAGACCCUGUUUGUAAUUAAUUUGAAUGUUUCCAGAGCUUCAUGUUAUGCCCUCCCUGUUGUAUUUCCAUAGGGAGUUCAUUGGGCCAUAGCUCUGGUUUGGAAAACGGUGCUCACUCCUCACUUCUAUUGCAUGGGCUAUGUGUUAAUGGAAAGCGGUUAUUUUUUGUCUCCAGGCAUGGAAAUAAGCCCUUGUCUCUGAGCCUGGAAAGAAUCAUGGUGGAUUUUACUUCUGAGCAUUGGUUUUUGGGUUGGGGAAAGCAGCUGAAUAUCUGUGGACACCUACUCCUCCAGUGAAUAAACAGGACAGCGGUCAAAAGAGAGAGCAGUGAACUUGUUGAGGCCAUAGUAAAGUGUAUUGCUACAUCAUUUUAAAACUUUGUUUGCCUUUUAAUUUUUUUUAAUUUAAUUUUUUUACUACCUUACUAUUUUUGAAGCUUAAUAAUAUGGUUAAAAGUUAUACCUGGCUAGGUUUCAGGUGGAAUCACCACUCCCAUAUCUGACAGUGUGUACAAGCUUUCUGAAUCCUAAAUUCUACACCUGUAGAUGGAAUGAAAACAGUUAUGUACAUAUGUACAUGGUUUGGUUUUGGGUUGGGUUUUCCAAAAAUCAGACUCUGAGAGUAGGAUUUUUAACUAGUUUAUUUGGGAAAUGACCCAAGGAGCACUGGUACAGAAGUGGGAAGUGAGAUAGGCAAGGGAUAGAAGCCAACAAAUGAGGUAAUAAUAAGUAAGUGACUUUUUGGGGCAAUAGGGGUUCCACCUCCUGGGGACCAUUGGGAGCCUGCAGAGAGUACAUACAAGAUUGACCUCCUCAAGCUGUGAGGACCCACCACAGAGCAUUUAAGUUAAGUCCUAUAUACCAUUGGUUUAAGGAAGUAACUCACUAGCACUCCUGGCCUUAUCCAGAUAAUGGGCUAAACAUGCACUGUGGCCAGAUAAGGCCCUCAGACAAGGAAGGGUGAAUGCCAAGAGAAUAUGUGUAGUGGACCCAUGACUCCCUGUCACAUAGAAGGUUUAACAGUAAAGUGAUGCUGAGAAACUAGAUGCCUUUCCCCUAAGAU